CGGAUUACAGCUAGUUGAGCCAAAUUUUUUCAAUCAAAUGACCACUGUUCAUGGGCUGAUCAUGGUCUUUGGAG
rnacentral:tRNA from 1 species